CCCCAUAGAGCCCCAUAGAGACCCCACACUGCCCCAUAGAGACCCCGCAGACCCCAUAGAGACCCCGCAGACCCCAUAGAGACCCCGCAGACGCCAUAAGCCCCCAUAGAAACCCAUGGAGACCCCACAGACCCCCAUAGAGACCCCUAUAGCCCCAUAGAGACCCCAUAGAGACCCAUAGAGACCCCACAACCCCCAUAGAAACUCAUGGAGACCCCAUAGAGCCCCAUAGAGACCCCACAGAGCCCCAUAGAGCCCCUAUAGAGACGCCACGGAGCCCCCAUAGAGACCCCACGGAGCCCCCAUAGACCCCCAUAGACCCCCAUAGAGCCCCAUAGAGACCCCAUAGAGCCCCAUAGAGACCCCACAGACCCCAUAGAGACCCCACGCAGCCCCCAUAGAGCCCCAUGGAGAUCCCAUAGACCCCCAUAGAGCCCCAUAGACCCCCAUAGAGCCCCGUAGACACCCAUAGAGACCCCACACUGCCCCAUAGAGACCCCACAGACCGCAUAGAGACCCAUGGAGACCCCAUAGAGACCUCACAUUGCCCCAUAGAGACCCCACAGACCCCAUAGAGCCCCUAUAGAGACCCCACGGAGCCCCCAUAGAGACCCCACGGAGCCCCCAUAGACCCCCAUAGAGCCCCAUAGAGACCCCACACUGCCCCAUAGAGACCCAUAGAGCCCCUAUAGAGACCCCACGGAGCCCCCAGAGAGACCGCACGGAGCCCCCAUAGACCCCCAUAGAGCCCCAUAGAGACCCC
rnacentral:lncRNA from 1 species